GAUGAACGCUGGCGGCGGGCCUAAUACAUGCAAGUCGAGCGAACAGACGAGGAGCUUGCUCCGCUGACGUUAGCGGCGGGCGGGUGAGUAACACGUGGAUAACCUGCCUAGAAGACUGGGAUAAGGUCGGGAAACCGGAGCUAAUACCGGAUAAUAUAUUGAACCGCAUGGUUCAAUGGUGAAAGACGGUUUUGCUGUCACUUAUAGGUGGAUCCUCGCCGCAUUAGCUAGUUGGUAAGGUAACGGCUUACCAAGGCAACGAUGCGUAGCCGACCUGAGAGGGUGAUCAGUCACACUGGAACUGAGACACGGUCCAGACUCCUACGGGAGGCAGCAGUAGGGAAUCUUCCGCAAUGGGCGAAAGCCUGACGGAGCCACGCCGCGUGAGUGAUGAAGGUCUUCGGAUCGUAAAACUCUGUUAUUAGGGAAGAACAAAUGUGUAAGUAAACAUGCCCGUCUUGACGGUACCUACUCAGAAAGCAACGGCUAACUACGUG
rnacentral:rRNA from 1 species